rnacentral:rRNA from 1 species
AAGACCUUGCACUUUUGGAGCGGCCGAUGUCUGAUUAGCUAGUUGGUGGGGUAAUGGCCUACCAAAGCUUCGAUCAGUAGCUGGUCUGAGAGGACGGCCAGCCACACUGGGACUGAGACACGGCCCAGACUCCUACGGGAGGCAGCAGUGGGGAAUUUUGGACAAUGGGCGCAAGCCUGAUCCAGCCAUGCCGCGUGAGUGAAGAAGGCCUUCGGGUUGUAAAGCUCUUUCAGCCGGGAAGAAAAGGUUGCGACUAAUAAUCGCAAUUCAUGACGGUACCGAAAGAAGAAGCACCGGCUAACUACGCGCCAGCAGCCGCGGUAAUACGUAGGGUGCGAGCGUUAAUCGGAAUUACUGGGCGUAAAGGGUGCGCAGGCGGUUUUGUAAGUCAGAUGUGAAAUCCCCGGGCUUAACCUGGGAACU